rnacentral:rRNA from 1 species
GGGGGGCGGGGGCGGGGGGGGGGGGGCGGGCGGGGCGGGCGGGCGGGCGGGGGGCGGGCGGCGCUGGGGGUGGCGGCGGGCGGGUGAGGAACACGUGGAGAACCUACCCCUGAGACUGGGAUAACUUCGGGACACCGGAGCUAAUCCCGGAUGAUAUUUUGCACCGCAUGGUUCAAACGUGAAAGACGGUCUUGCUGUCCCUUAUAGCUGGAUCCGCGCUGCCUUAGCUAGUUGGUAAGGUAACGGCUUACCAAGGCAACGAUGCAUAGCCGACCUGAGAGGGUGAUCGGCCACACUGGAACUGAGACACGGUCCAGACUCCUACGGGAGGCAGCAGUAGGGAAUCUUCCGCAAUGGGCGAAAGCCUGACGGAGCAACGCCGCGUGAGUGAUGAAGGUCUUCGGAUCGUAAAACUCUGUUAUUAGGGAAGAACAGAUGUGUAAGUAACUGUGCACAUCUUGACGGUACCUAAUCAGAAAGCCACGGCUAACUACGUG